UGCAGAGUGUGGGCUUUCCAGCCAGAAACUGCUUUAUCUUGAGUCAACUAAUUAACUUGACAAAGCUCUCAGUGCUUUAAAAACAAGCAACAUCUCUGAACAGCUGACAGCAUUUUAGAGAGAUACAUCUGGGAAGCUGCAAGCACAGAAAUACAUCUGUUUCCAUUGUUAUAGAAAGAUAAACAGGAUCAGACUCCAGACACUGUGGGAAAAAAGUUCUUGCUUGUCUGCUUACUGUUUACUGCCUUUCUGGAGGAAGAAAUGUCACGGAUGUGUCAAAUGAUUCAGAAGAGAUGAAAGCCAGUGGGUUUUUCACCAGCAGAGUAAAUAAAUGAGGACUCAACUCAGGAAAAGGACAACCUCUCUUAUGCUUUCCGACACGGCUGCCGGGCAUUCCGCAUUAAAUUGAAAGAGAGUACAAACGAUGCAGAAAAUAUGAUUGAGAUCACCCUAGAUGGCAUGUUAACAGUUUGAGAAAAUUGCUCACAGAAACUAUAUCAAUGAUGCUGAGUCCUGCCUUUGAGUCUCUGCUGAAAACAGCCAGAUUAUUUUCAGAGUGAAUGAAUAAAUUAUGCUGC
rnacentral:lncRNA from 1 species